rnacentral:rRNA from 3 species
UUCCGGUUGAUCCUGCCAGAGGCUACUGCUAUCGGGGUCCGACUAAGCCAUGCGAGUUGAGAGGGGUAAGCCCUCGGCAUAUUGCUCAGUAACACGCGGAUAACCUGCCCUUGGGUUUGGGAUAACCCCGGGAAACUGGGACUAAUACCGGAUAGAUCAAAGAAACUGGAAUGUUCUCUGAUCGAAAGCUCCGGCGCCCAAGGAUGGGUCUGCGGCCUAUCAGGUAGUAGUGGGUGUAACGUACCUACUAGCCUACGACGGGUAAGGGUUGUGAGAGCAAGAGCCCUGAGAUGGAUUCUGAGACAUGAAUCCAGGCCCUACGGGGUGCAGCAGGCGCGAAAACUUUACACUGCGGGAAACCGCGAUAAGGGGACCCCGAGUGCCAGCACCUAGUGCUGGCUGUCCAGCUGUUCAAAUAACAGUUGUUAGCAAGGGCCGGGCAAGACCGGUGCCAGCCGCCGCGGUAACACCGGCGGCCCGAGUGGUAGCCGUUAUUAUUGGGUUUAAAGGGUCCGUAGCCGGCCUAUUAAGUCUCUUGGGAAAUCUGGCGACUCAAUCGUCAGGCGUUCAAGAGAUACUGGUAGGCUUGGGACCGGGAGAGGUGGGAGGUACUCCAGGGGUAGGGGUGAAAUCUCGUAAUCCUUGGGGGACCACCGAUGGCGAAGGCAUCCCACCAGAACGGGUCCGACGGUGAGGGACGAAAGCUGGGGGCACGAACCGGAUUAGAUACCCGGGUAGUCCCAGCCGUAAACGAUGCUCGCUAGGUGUCAGGUGCGGUGCGACCGCAUCUGGUGCCGCAGUGAAAACUUGAAGCGAGUCACCUGGGAAGUACGGUCGCAAGGCUGAAACUUAAAGGAAUUGGCGGGGGAGCACUACAACGGGUGGAGCCUGCGGUUCAAUUGGAUUCAACGCCGGA